AGAGCUCUCGGGUGAUAGAGAAAUGACGCACACGGCUGCCGCUCCAUAACCGUUAAAAAGGUUAAAAACACACCGCCUUGAAAAAUAAAAUAAAGAGCACACAUAACCGAUGCCAGGUUAAAAAACACUGUCCUUGAAAAAUAGCCACGGGCACGGGCACGGGCACGACCAGACUAAAGAAAAAGAACAGUGCCCAGCAUCUCUAUCUAUUGGAGACGGCCCCCGGAGGCGCCCACAGCAACAGACUCAGGUGGCGACAUCCUAGGCGGAUGCGGGGGCUGGCUUUGUGAUCAUGGAUGCCGGAGCAAUCCAGGAUAAACCAUCACACUGACGUGGGACAUGGCUACUUGCCACAUACAAGAUGAAGUAUCUGCCUUGCAGGCUACGCUGACCUAUCCAGGCCCAGCAUCACCAUCCAACAACCAACCUAGCUAUACCAGUUAAC
rnacentral:lncRNA from 1 species